AUUGAACGCUAGCGGGAUGCUUUACACAUGCAAGUCGAACGGCAGCGCGGACUUCGGUCUGGCGGCGAGUGGCGAACGGGUGAGUAAUGUAUCGGAACGUGCCCAGUAGCGGGGGAUAACUACGCGAAAGCGUAGCUAAUACCGCAUACGCCCUACGGGGGAAAGCAGGGGAUCGUAAGACCUUGCACUAUUGGAGCGGCCGAUAUCGGAUUAGCUAGUUGGUGAGGUAACGGCUCACCAAGGCGACGAUCCGUAGCUGGUUUGAGAGGACGACCAGCCACACUGGGACUGAGACACGGACCAGAAUCCUACGGGAGGCAGCAGUGGGGAAUUUGGGACAAUGGGGGCAAACCUGAUCCAGCCAUCCCGCGUGUGCGAUGAAGGCCUUCGGGUUGUAAAGCACUUUUGGCAGGAAAGAAACGUCGCGGGCUAAGACCCCGUGGAACUGACGGUACCUGCAGAAUAAGCACCGGCUAACUACGG
rnacentral:rRNA from 1 species